rnacentral:rRNA from 1 species
AGGGUUCGAUUCUGGCUCAGGAUGAACGCUGGCGGCGUGCUUAACACAUGCAAGUCGAACGGGAUCCAUCAGGCUUUGCUUGGUGGUGAGAGUGGCGAACGGGUGAGUAAUGCGUGACCGACCUGCCCCAUACACCGGAAUAGCUCCUGGAAACGGGUGGUAAUGCCGGAUGCUCCAGUUGAUCGCAUGGUCUUCUGGGAAAGCUUUCGCGGUAUGGGAUGGGGUCGCGUCCUAUCAGCUUGACGGCGGGGUAACGGCCCACCGUGGCUUCGACGGGUAGCCGGCCUGAGAGGGCGACCGGCCACAUUGGGACUGAGAUACGGCCCAGACUCCUACGGGAGGCAGCAGUGGGGAAUAUUGCACAAUGGGCGCAAGCCUGAUGCAGCGACGCCGCGUGAGGGAUGGAGGCCUUCGGGUUGUAAACCUCUUUUAUCGGGGAGCAAGCGAGAGUGAGUUUACCCGUUGAAUAAGCACCGGCUAACUACGUGCCAGCAGCCGCGGUAAUACGUAGGGUGCAAGCGUUAUCCGGAAUUAUUGGGCGUAAAGGGCUCGUAGGCGGUUCGUCGCGUCCGGUGUGAAAGUCCAUCGCUUAACGGUGGAUCCGCGCCGGGUACGGGCGGGCUUGAGUGCGGUAGGGGAGACUGGAAUUCCCGGUGUAACGGUGGAAUGUGUAGAUAUCGGGAAGAACACCAAUGGCGAAGGCAGGUCUCUGGGCCGUUACUGACGCUGAGGAGCGAAAGCGUGGGGAGCGAACAGGAUUAGAUACCCUGGUAGUCCACGCCGUAAACGGUGGAUGCUGGAUGUGGGGCCCGUUCCACGGGUUCCGUGUCGGAGCUAACGCGUUAAGCAUCCCGCCUGGGGAGUACGGCCGCAAGGCUAAAACUCAAAGAAAUUGACGGGGGCCCGCACAAGCGGCGGAGCAUGCGGAUUAAUUCGAUGCAACGCGAAGAACCUUACCUGGGCUUGACAUGUUCCCGACGGUCGUAGAGAUACGGCUUCCCUUCGGGGCGGGUUCACAGGUGGUGCAUGGUCGUCGUCAGCUCGUGUCGUGAGAUGUUGGGUUAAGUCCCGCAACGAGCGCAACCCUCGCCCCGUGUUGCCAGCGGAUUAUGCCGGGAACUCACGGGGGACCGCCGGGGUUAACUCGGAGGAAGGUGGGGAUGACGUCAGAUCAUCAUGCCCCUUACGUCCAGGGCNNNNNNNNNNAACUCGGAGGAAGGUGGGGAUGACGUCAGAUCAUCAUGCCCCUUACGUCCAGGGCUUCACGCAUGCUACAAUGGCCGGUACAACGGGAUGCGACGCGGCGACGCGGAGCGGAUCCCUGAAAACCGGUCUCAGUUCGGAUCGCAGUCUGCAACUCGACUGCGUGAAGGCGGAGUCGCUAGUAAUCGCGAAUCAGCAACGUCGCGGUGAAUGCGUUCCCGGGCCUUGUACACACCGCCCGUCAAGUCAUGAAAGUGGGCAGCACCCGAAGCCGGUGGCCUAACCCCUUGUGGGAUGGAGCCGUCUAAGGUGAGGCUCGUGAUUGGGACUAAGUCGUAACAAGGUAGCCGUACCGGAAGGUGCGGCUG